rnacentral:lncRNA from 1 species
UUUGGGUUUGAGAGACAGAGAAAGAGAUAGAAGCCGACAGCUGGGGAAUAACUCAGAUUGUGUUUUAUGGCUACACGUGUGUGAGCAUGCAAUGCAUAGGAAAGUGGUCUUUCCCAAGUGUGUCCCCGCACACAUUUGAUUGACAGUCACAACGAUGGUGACAUGACCUAGUUUUUCUUUCUUUAGAAUACAUGGAUCUGCACCUAAAGAUAGGUAGCCCUUUGCUUUGUCUCCUGGGUAUGACAACUUUAAAUAAAUCCUUAAGUUCCAUGACCCCAUUCCCACCUUGUCUCCCUUCAACAUGCUUCCUGAGUAGCUGCUAAGUAUAAGGAACCUUAGAGAAAACAAGUAGAAGGAAGGGAAGAGUGCACACAAAUAAAAGACUGAAUAUUUGAAAAGGACAUUCAGCAAAAGGAAAAGCAAAAAAUUGGGAAGCAAUGGGGGUGAAAAGAAAACCUGGUGAAUGGGGUUGGAAGAAGGGCAGGACUUGAGAAGAUUCAUGUCACCUGGCAUCAAAGGAGAUAGACCUUCUCUUCUCUUUGACUCAGUCCCUUGUUUAUUGGGAUGAUCCACCAUAGUCGGCUUAACUCUUGGCUGAAGCUAGGGAAGACUUGUCACUAUUUGCUGUGUGAAUCCAUGUCUGUAAUUUCUGUGACCUGAGCAUUCAGGGCAAAAAUUGUUUCCAUUUUUUCCCAUUUCAUGCAUCAUUUCAGAGUUGUGUAGUCACUUUGUAGAAGCUGUGGGUGCCAAUUUUAACAAGUAGAAAAACAAGAAUCGCAAAGCCUGCAUUGCCUGCAUCUGCUUCUCUCAUUUCUGAACCAGAGAGGAUGGGAGUUACCGAGGACAACGAAAGUUAGCAACAGUGGAUCCUGUGUUUGCAUAAGUGUCCUAUUUUAACUAAGAGCAACUGUGCAUAAUCCCCUCAGAGAAUCGGGUUGCCGGUUGGCAGGCCUCUGGAGCCAGAACACCUGCGUGGUGGAGAGGCACUACUCUCUGUGAAGGGUGCCAGCCAUGGCCUUUCCACCCCACAGGCUUAGCAUCUGACUAAGCAUGCCAGUUGCUUCUGAGGGCCAGUUGCUUACAGAAAAUAACUACAGCUCUGUGAGACGGUGUUUCUCUCUUUGAUUUUCUCUCUGGAUCUGACUACCCUCUUUCACAACUUGCCCUAUCUUGUAUGGCUUUUCAAAGACUGUGACAUGAAAGCAAUUACAAAUAUUAAAUACAGAAGGCAAAAUUUAUUAUCCCUGAAACAUCAAGAGAGCUGCAUGGACAACAGAUAUUGGAGGGCACUUCCUGGAGAUCAUUUUGCUGAGAGUUAAAUAUUCCCAAGCAUACUAAGGGUAGGGUCCCUCCAGUGUUUUGAAAUCCCUGCCUUAUCUGGCAGGAUCUUUUCUGCCAUUCUCCUCUUAGCUCUUUGCACAUGCCUGGAAAAAUGAAUGAAUGGCAGAACUCACCAAUCGACUGACCAAGAACUGAAUGCUAAUUUACAUAAAUGUGACAGGAUCUGGAUUUCCAUGUGCUUUUAUAAUUUACCUACUUCAAUAAUUCUCAGGAAAUAGCUUAUUCUUAAGUACUCUUUCUUUCUCCCUUUUUCCUUCUUUCCCUCCUUUCCUUUUUUUUUUUCUUUCUCUCCUUUCUCUUUAAUGUAGUAUAAGAAGAUAGAUUCCUAGGUCAUAAACCUGAUUCUGCCUAGGAGAGCAGAUUUCUUAUUUUUAAAGGCACACUGGGGUCACUGUGUCCCGACACAUAUCUUUUUGUUUUUUUUCUUAAGUGCAUUUCUUUUAAAAUGAAGGAAAUCCUGUUAUUUGCGACAACAUGAGUAAAACUGGAGGGCACUAUGCUGCGUGAAAUAAGCCAGAAAGAGAAAGACAGAUACUUCAUGGUAUCACUUACAUGUGGAAUAAAAAAAAAAAAAAAGUAAAAGCAGAGAGUUGAACUCAGAAACAGUAGGAUAGUGCUUGUCAGGGGCUGGGGAAUGAGGGAAAUGUUCAGGGGAUGGUAAAAGAGCUCAAGUUUUCAGUUAUAAGAAUAAGAUCUGAGUAUCUAAUAUAGAACGUGGUGAAUAUAGUUGAUAGUACUAUAUUGUGCAAUUAAAAUUUGCUAGGAGAGUAAAACAAAUGUUCUCACACACAAACACACACACACACACACAUUAAUUACAGUAGGAAAAGAGAUGUCAAAUUGACUCUAGGAAACUUUUCACAAUGUCCAUAUAUAUAUUAAAUCAUCCUAUUGCAUAAUUUAAGUAUCUUACAAUUUUGUCAGAUAGACUUCAAUAAAGCCUUUGAAACAUAACAAAAAUAUAUGCAUUUCCUUCCUAAUGACAGUUUACCUUGUCUUUAAUGUAUUGAACUUUUGGGAAGAAGAUAACAGCAUGCUGAUUCUCUGGUCUGGAAUCUCAACCAAAAUUAUAGCCAGGAGAGCAUCUCCAGAUGUUCUAGAGUCUUCCAACUCUAAGCCAGCCUGAGAUAAGGAUCCAGAAAGAACAGUACCCAAGCUGCCUGCUAAAACCAGCACCCAGCGUUAACAUUACCUGGGUGGUGUUACUGGCCAGUGCAUAUUUUCAUAUGCAUCCUCAUAUCUCCUAUCAAGUUUAUCUUUGAAUCCUAGGGUGUUAGUUACUGUGUGUCAGACAGAAUAUAUUCCUUUCUGGAAAAUUCUCGAUAAGGAAAGAAACUCGGAUCCAACGAAUAGCUCAAUUGGCAUACAUGUUAUCAGUGUGGUUUCAAGAGGCAGGUGCUCUCACACUGAAGUUUACAGUACAUCCAACUCAAAAUAUUAGUGUUAAAUUAACGAAGAAUGAAAUUUCUAGGCUUUCAAAUAAAAGGUUAUUGCUGAGAGUAUCCCACAUUUUAUGCAGAAUAUAAUAUUGAAAAUGAAAACAAAACUAAUUGCAUAUGUUGAGGGUGAUCUUUAGAAGCAGUGACAGAAAUUCAAGCGACCUACAUGCAUUAUAUUCCCAGCGGAAAUGUCCAUCUCCAUCACCAUUGCCCCUUUUUCUUAAUUUUUUCUCCUUUUUUUUCCCAAUCGCUUUAUUGAAUUUUAUGGAUUUAUUAUAGCACCAUCCUUAAUAUCACAAGAUAGAGGAUGAGUCCAAAUUAUGAUAUUGAUAUGGUAGCAGAACAUGGCUGUAUUUCCUUUUUUUUUUUUUUUUUCCUUUUUUGCAAACACUGGGUCAAUUUUUCUCGUGAAGAGAGAGGUUGGGAAGUUAAUUAGGUUUGGUACUAAAACGCUGAUUAAUUUCAACUGAUUC